rnacentral:rRNA from 1 species
AGGAUUCCCCUAGUAACGGCGAGUGAAGAGGGAAAAGCCCAGCACCGAAGCCUGCGCAGAUUUGCUGUUAGGCAAUGUGGUGUUUGGGUCGGCUAGUGGGACCACCACUCCACUCGAAGUCCAGCAUUGAGUAUGGUUACUGGAUUUGGCCCAGAGAGGGUGAAAGGCCCGUACGGUGGAGUAUCAGACAUGUGAGGUGGUUCACCAGGUCGACCUUAGAGUCGGGUUGUUUGGGAAUGCAGCCCAAAGCGGGUGGUAAACUCCAUCCAAGGCUAAAUACAAGCACGAGUCCGAUAGCGAACAAGUACCGUGAGGGAAAGUUGAAAAGUACUCUGAAGAGAGAGUAAACAGUACGUGAAACCGCAUGCAGGUAAACGGGUGGCGUCAAGCUGCAAGCCCGGAGAAUUCAGCCGGCUAGGUUGUUGUGUAUGCGCCUGGCGCAUCCAUCAGUCAGAGUAUGAUUGGGUAGUCCACUAGUAAACAGUGGGCCUGUUCGCAAGGACAGGAUAUGUGUACCGGGUGGGUGCCGGAGCAUGCUAUCCGUCUAUGGACUGUCUAGCCGGUGCACUUUCUCCGUGGUCAACACCACGACCGGUGGUAUUGCCAGUCUGCUGUGUCCAAGUCGCAUUUGGUAGGUCCUUGCGGCCAACCGAGUGCGAUCACAGGCAAACUCAGUAAACGGCGUGAGGGUGCUUCGGCACUUUCAUGUGUUAUCGGCUACUGGUUGUCAACGGGCCUGCUCUGUGUUUGUUGUAAUCGACACGGGGUGGUCCGGUGGGGCAUGGUGGUAAGAAUAACUGUGCAAGGCACCGGGGUUAUCGGCCUCAAAUGCGUCCUGCGUCCACGUUACAAGUGUAGGUGCUGUGUCGCCGCUGCCUGCUCGGUGCUGGGUGUGAUUGGCGUGUCGCCUGCGCAAAGUAGGCCCGCAAUGGCUCGGUUCGAGGUGGGUAGUUGGCGGCGUUGUCGAUGGCGUAGGACGUGGUGGGCCUAAUAGUCAGUGGU